GGAAUAUUCGUCAAUGGGGGAAACCCUGAACGAGCAAUGCCGCGUGAACGAUGACGGCCCUCCGGGUUGUAAAGUUCUGUUGUUUGGAAAGAAUCUCAUGUAUAGGAAAUGAUACAUGACUGACGGUACCAUUCAAGAAAGCCACGGCUAACUACGUGCCAGCAGCCGCGGUAAUACGUAGGUGGCGAGUGUUAUCCGGAUUUAUUGGGCGUAAAGCGUCCGCAGCCGGUUUAUUAAGUCCAGAAUCAAAGCCCGAAGCUCAACUUCGGUUCGUUUUGGAAACUGAUAGGCUAGAGUGUGGUAGAGGCAAGUGGAACUUCUAGUGUAGCGGUAAAAUGCGUAGAUAUUAGAAAGAACACCAGUGGCGAAGGCGACUUGCUGGGCCACCACUGACGGUCAGGGACGAAAGCGUGGGGAGCAAAU
rnacentral:rRNA from 1 species